GACGAACGCUGGCGGCGUGCUUAACACAUGCAAGUCGAGCGGAAAGGCCCUGCUUGCAGGGUACUCGAGUGGCGAACGGGUGAGUAACACGUGGGUGAUCUGCCCUGCACUUCGGGAUAAGCCUGGGAAACUGGGUCUAAUACCGGAUAGGAGCCAUUUUUAGUGUGAUGGUUGGAAAGUUUUUUCGGUGUAGGAUGAGCUCGCGGCCUAUCAGCUUGUUGGUGGGGUAAUGGCCUACCAAGGCGGCGACGGGUAGCCGGCCUGAGAGGGUGGACGGCCACCUUGGGACUGAGAUACGGCCCAGACUCCUACGGGAGGCAGCAGUGGGGAAUAUUGCACAAUGGGCGCAAGCCUGAUGCAGCGACGCCGCGUGGGGGAUGACGGCCUUCGGGUUGUAAACUCCUUUCGCUAGGGACGAAGCUUUUUGUGACGGUACCUAGAUAAGAAGCACCGGCUAACUACGUG
rnacentral:rRNA from 1 species